UACGUAGGGGGCAAGCGUUGUCCGGAAUUAUUGGGCGUAAAGAGCGUGUAGGCGGUAAAUUAAGUUGGAUGUAAAAGGCAUGGGCUCAACCUGUGUAAGCAUCCAAAACUGAUAUACUUGAGUGCAGGAGAGGAAAGUGGAAUUCCCGGUGUAGCGGUGGAAUGCGUAGAGAUCGGGAGGAACACCAGUGGCGAAGGCGACUUUCUGGCCUGUAACUGACGCUGAGACGCGAAAGCGUGGGUAGCGAAUGGG
rnacentral:rRNA from 1 species